rnacentral:ncRNA from 2 species
CUAAGGUGUCAUCGGGAAGGUGCGGCCCUUUGGGGCCGUGAAAAGGGAAUCCGGUGCGGCCACAAGGCCCAGGCCGGAGCUGCCCCCGCAACUGUAAGCGGCCGAAGACGCGAUCCUCAUGCCACGGGCACGCCCCGGAAGGCGAUCGCGGACAGGACGCGAGCCAGGAGACCUGCCUUCUCGCAACUGAACUC